GGAAUACAACCGGGCCAAAUCCUUGAUUCUGAUGCUGUGAAGCCAUAAGUGGAGAACUUGGCUGGGCCACUAUGCCUGAACUUCUGACUCACUGAAACUGUGAGACAAUAAAUGAGUUUUGUUGCUAAAUUUGUUACGGUAAUAAUCAAAAGUUCAAACAACAUGCUUUCUGUCUUUGUCAUAUAAGGCAUUCUAUAUUUGUUAUAUCAGUUACAAUAUACAAUAACAACAACAAAAUAUACAAAACCUUGGUGCCUAAAACAACAUAGGGAUGCAUCCAGAAUAAAGAACUUUUUAAAAAAUUUUAAUCAUUGUUCAAAAAGGCAAAAUAUUUAAGCAAACAGUUCAUAAAGACAGUAUGCAAAUGUCCAAUAAGAACA